UACGGAGGGGGCUAGCGUUGUUCGGAAUUACUGGGCGUAAAGCGUGCGUAGGCGGACUGGAAAGUCAGAUGUGAAAUCCCGGGGCUCAACCCCGGAACUGCAUUUGAAACUAUCAGUCUAGAGUUCUGGAGAGGUAAGUGGAAUUCCUAGUGUAGAGGUGAAAUUCGUAGAUAUUAGGAGGAACACCAGAGGCGAAGGCGGCUUACUGGACAGAUACUGACGCUGAGGCACGAAAGUGUGGGGAGCAAACAGG
rnacentral:rRNA from 1 species